rnacentral:rRNA from 1 species
UUACUGUGAAGGAAAUUUUUUAAAUCUUCAAGAAUUUAUAAAAACUUAUACCUUUUGUAUCAGGGUAAAUUAAUAUAAUACAUAAUUAUAGAUUUCGAAAUUAACUGAGCUAAAAGUUUUUUAAUUUAUUUAUAUAAAAAAAAAAAAAAUUACUUAUAGGGGUAAUAAUUCAAACGGAGUUAAUGAUAUCUAAUUAAAUGUGAAAUAAAUAAAAAUUUUUUUAUAGAAAAAAAUCUUAGUUGGGUAAGUUAAUUAAGUAAAAAUAAGAGAUAUUGAUAAAAAUAACUAGACUUUAAAUUAGUUAUGUUAAUAAUUUGUAAUAAAAAAUUCUUUUAAAAUUUAUAGAACAUUUAUAAAUAGCUUUUUGUUUUUUAUAAUUAAGGAAAAAUAGUAAUAAUGAUUUAAUCAGUAUCUUUGGUUGUUAAAUUUUAUAAACUAAAUUAAAUCUUGACUGUUUACCAAAAACUUUUUUUUCUGCUAUAUAGAAAGUAUAACCUGCCCGGUGAGUAAUAUUUAACGGCUGCAGUAUUUUGACUGUGCUAAGGUAGCAUAAUAAAUUGUUUUUUAAUUGAGAACUGGAAUAAAAGGUUGGACAAUUUUUAAAAAUAUAAAACUUAAUAAAUAAACUUUUACUAUAAGUAAAAAUACUUAUAUAUAAUAAAGGGACGAUAAGACCCUAGAAGCUUUAAUUUUGUGGGUUAUAAAAAAUUAUACUAAAAUUUUAUAUUUUUACAAAAUUUUUGUUGGGGAAAUAUAGGUUUUAUAAAUAAUUUACUUUAUAAAUAAAAAUAAUUAAAAGAUCUUUUAAAUAAAAAUGCUUAGUAUAAGUUACUUUAGGGAUAACAGCGUAAUAAUUUUGGAUAGAUCUUAUAUAUAAUUUUGAUUACGACCUCGAUGUUGAAUUAAAAUAUCUUUAUGAAGUAGAAAUUAUAAAAGAAGGUUUGUUCAACCUUUAAUUUUUUACAUGAUUUGAGUUCAGACCGGUUUAAGCCAGGUUGGUUUCUAUCUUUUAUAAAGAAAAAUUUUUUUAGUACGAAAGGACCAAAUAAUUCUAAUAUUU